GAUGAAGAACGUAGCGAAAUGCGAUAAGUAGUGUGAAUUGCAGAAUUCAGUGAAUCAUCGAAUCUUUGAACGCACAUUGCGCCCCUUGGUAUCCCGAGGGGCAUGCCUGUUCGAGCGUCAUUUCACCACUCAAGCCUGGCGUGGUGUUGGGCGACGUCCUCUUUGGGGACGCGCCUCGAAACGCUCGGCGGCGUGGCACCGGCUUUAAGCGUAGCAGAAUCUUUCGCUUUGGAAGUCGGGGCCCCGUCUGCCGGAAGACCUGCUCGCAAGGUUGACCUCGGAUCAGGCAGGGAUACCCGCUGAACUUAAGCAUAUCAAUAAGCGGAGGA
rnacentral:misc_RNA from 1 species